rnacentral:tRNA from 1 species
UGGGGAGUCGUCUAAUGGUAGGACAGCAGCCUCUGGAGCUGCCUAUUGGGGUUCAAGUCCCUGCUCCCCAGCCA